rfam:Gossypium arboreum cultivar AKA8401 contig_20337_1, whole genome shotgun sequence.
AUUCUAUGAUGAGGGCAUCUUCGUAAUAGUUCUUUAAAUCUUUCUCACGCUUCAUACAAUGACUCAUCAUCCAUCUGUUGGAAGGUAGUGAUUCAUUCCGCAACUUAGCAU